rnacentral:tRNA from 1 species
GGAGGAGUGGCCGAGUGGUUUAAAGCGCGGCUCUCGAAAAGCUGUUUCCCGCUUAGCGGGAUCGUGGGUUCGAAUCCCACCUCCUCCG